rnacentral:rRNA from 1 species
UACAGAGGGUGCGAGCGUUAAUCGGAAUUACUGGGCGUAAAGCGUGCGUAGACGGUUAUUUAAGUCGGGUGUGAAAUCCCCGGGCUCAACCCGGGAACUGCGUCCGAUACUGGCAGGCUUGAAUCCGGGAGAGGGAUGUGGAAUUCCAGGUGUAGCGGUGAAAUGCGUAGAUAUCUGGAGGAACACCGGUGGCGAAGGCGGCAUCCUGGACCGGCAUUGACGCUGAGGCGCGAAAGCCAGGGGAGCAAACGGG